AAGAGUUUGAUCAUGGCUCAGAUUGAACGCUGGCGGCAGGCCUAACACAUGCAAGUCGAACGGUAACAGAAAGCAGCUUGCUGCUUUGCUGACGAGUGGCGGACGGGUGAGUAAUGUCUGGGAAACUGCCCGAUGGAGGGGGAUAACUACUGGAAACGGUAGCUAAUACCGCAUAACGUCGCAAGACCAAAGAGGGGGACCUUCGGGCCUCUUGCCAUCGGAUGUGCCCAGAUGGGAUUAGCUAGUAGGUGGGGUAAAGGCUCACCUAGGCGACGAUCCCUAGCUGGUCUGAGAGGAUGACCAGCCACACUGGAACUGAGACACGGUCCAGACUCCUACGGGAGGCAGCAGUGGGGAAUAUUGCACAAUGGGCGCAAGCCUGAUGCAGCCAUGCCGCGUGUAUGAAGAAGGCCUUCGGGUUGUAAAGUACUUUCAGCGGGGAGGAAGGGAGUAAAGUUAAUACCUUUGCUCAUUGACGUUACCCGCAGAAGAAGCACCGGCUAACUCCGUGCCAGCAGCCGCGGUAAUACGGAGGGUGCAAGCGUUAAUCGGAAUUACUGGGCGUAAAGCGCACGCAGGCGGUUUGUUAAGUCAGAUGUGAAAUCCCCGGGCUCAACCUGGGAACUGCAUCUGAUACUGGCAAGCUUGAGUCUCGUAGAGGGGGGUAGAAUUCCAGGUGUAGCGGUGAAAUGCGUAGAGAUCUGGAGGAAUACCGGUGGCGAAGGCGGCCCCCUGGACGAAGACUGACGCUCAGGUGCGAAAGCGUGGGGAGCAAACAGGAUUAGAUACCCUGGUAGUCCACGCCGUAAACGAUGUCGACUUGGAGGUUGUGCCCUUGAGGCGUGGCUUCCGGAGCUAACGCGUUAAGUCGACCGCCUGGGGAGUACGGCCGCAAGGUUAAAACUCAAAUGAAUUGACGGGGGCCCGCACAAGCGGUGGAGCAUGUGGUUUAAUUCGAUGCAACGCGAAGAACCUUACCUGGUCUUGACAUCCACGGAAGUUUUCAGAGAUGAGAAUGUGCCUUCGGGAACCGUGAGACAGGUGCUGCAUGGCUGUCGUCAGCUCGUGUUGUGAAAUGUUGGGUUAAGUCCCGCAACGAGCGCAACCCUUAUCCUUUGUUGCCAGCGGUCCGGCCGGGAACUCAAAGGAGACUGCCAGUGAUAAACUGGAGGAAGGUGGGGAUGACGUCAAGUCAUCAUGGCCCUUACGACCAGGGCUACACACGUGCUACAAUGGCGCAUACAAAGAGAAGCGACCUCGCGAGAGCAAGCGGACCUCAUAAAGUGCGUCGUAGUCCGGAUUGGAGUCUGCAACUCGACUCCAUGAAGUCGGAAUCGCUAGUAAUCGUGGAUCAGAAUGCCACGGUGAAUACGUUCCCGGGCCUUGUACACACCGCCCGUCACACCAUGGGAGUGGGUUGCAAAAGAAGUAGGUAGCUUAACCUUCGGGAGGGCGCUUACCACUUUGUGAUUCAUGACUGGGGUGAAGUCGUAACAAGGUAACCGUAGGGGAACCUGCGGUUGGAUCACCUCCUUACCUUAAAGAAGC
rnacentral:rRNA from 1 species